rnacentral:rRNA from 1 species
AACGAACGCUGGCGGCAGGCCUAACACAUGCAAGUCGAACGCCCGUAGCAAUACGGGAGUGGCAGACGGGUGAGUAACGCGUGGGAACGUGCCCUUCGGUUUCGGGAAUAACUCAGGGAAACGUUAGAGCUAAUACCGGAUACGUCCGUAAGGAGAAAGAUUUAUCGCCGAAGGAUCGGCCCGCGUCGGAUUAGCUAGUUGGUGAGGUAACGGCCCACCAAGGCGACGAUCCGUAGCUGGUCUGAGAGGANGAUCAGCCACACUGGGACUGAGACACGGCCCAGACU